CGAAAAUAGAGUCGCGGGAUGGUAUCUCCCGCAAUCAUCCCUUGGAUGAUCUCUUCACAGCCACGG
rnacentral:ncRNA from 1 species